GUACCUAAUCUAAUCUGUACAGGGCCGGCCAUAGGCAUAGCCAGCCUCACGGCUGUGCACAUACAUGCAUCGCAUAGGGGCACUCGGCCACGGCCAAAAGCAGUAGCAAAUGGCAACAACGGGCAGCAGCAGGUAGCAUCAACAGCCAACGCAAAAGAGGAGCAGCAACACGAAGCAAAGCAGCGGCAAAAGUAGCAAUAGGAACGACAAGCAAGCAAUAGCUCAGCGGCAGCAGCAAGUAAUCAGCAGCGGCAUGUAGUAGAAACAACAAGCAACAACAACGGUGGCGGCGCUAGGGGCAUUAGCAGAAGUGAGCAGCGGCAGUUUUAGGCAGAGCAAGCAGUAGCAGGCGGGCGCAGCAGGGGAGCGCGGCAGCGAACGGUCGCGGACGGGCGCGGCGCACGGGGCGCGGGCGGCCAAGGCAGCAGGUGAGUGCGGGGCAUGGCCAGGGCGCGGCAGGUGCACGCAUGCGCGGCCGGACACGGCCAGGGGUGCGACCACGGGCGGACGAGCAUGGCUGCGGCCAUGGAGCUUCGGCCACGACGGGAUGAGAAGUCUACAAUGUCGGAUCAAAGGGGAAAAACAGGAGAGAUGGAGGAGAAUCUCACAACGAGCUCGAUGGAGAGGUCGGGGAGAUCGGAGGUGGACCGGAGUGGCGGGAAUCGAUGGCGGAUGAUGAACGGGUCGGGUCCCAAGGUCGAAGGCGGCUCGAUCCAUUCGAUGUAGGUGCUCCGAGCUCGAGCGCUUCCCCGUAGUGGAAGGAGAGGAGCGUCGCCGACCUCCUGGAUAAGCUAGCGGGGCUCGGGGUCGUCGGGAAGCACGCGGACGGCGAAGACAAUGGCGACGGUGGCUCGGCUUGUCGCGGGGAGGAAGCAAAGUCGUGGGGGGAAAGGAAGAUGGGGCUAGGGUUUUUCCAGGGGAGAGAGGGGCGGCUGGGGUUGCUCUUAUCCGAGAGGGGGGCCAGGGGAUGGACGACACAUUGCCGAGGAGCGGCCAUGGCCGCGGGAUGGCCAUCACGCCUCUCCCUGUCUCCUGUAGCGUGAGGAGGGAGAGGAGGUGUGGUGGGUUGGGCCUCCUAGUCCCACAUGGGCCUGAUUCUUUUUAAUUGCUUCCUUCUUUUCCUUUUACAUUCUUUUCUAUUUUCUUUUAACAGACACAAUUAGCGUUUACAUAAGCCACCAAAUGCCUUUAAAAAAUGUGGAUCUGGCCAAAACAAAAGCUAGGGGAUAUAGAGCAGUACAAAAAAAAAGGUUUAGGAGUGAUUUGAAUUAGCUUGGAAUUUUCAGAAAUUAGAAAAAGGAUUUAAAAGCUGUUUUAGGCACGUUUUAUUUAGUUUAAGGCAUUUAAUCACUUUAAAAAAUAUUGGUUUCACCAGGAAAAAUAUCCAGAUAUUAUUUUCAACACUUUGCACAUUUUAGUUUUUAUGUUUGAAGAAAAUAAUUAAUUGAAUUUAUUUAAAUUUUGAAUUUGAACUCAGUUUGUAUCAAAGCGAGGUUUAGCAAAUUAAUUGUGAUGACAUGGCACGAGUAGUGUGUGAUUACUGUAGCUGAACUACCGGGGUGUUACAAAUCUCCUCCACUGCAAGAAAUAUUGUCCCGAGAUUUAAGAGGUAGGGUGAGGGGGAAAGGAUUUAGUUAUGAAAAUUCUAACGAGUCUUCUUGUCUUGGUUGCUCUUAUCGAAGAUGUUGAUCCCUUUUUUUGCUUCCUUCGUUUCUCUGCUUCAAGUCAUUAUGGUGAAGUCAUCAUCCUUUCUUCAGGAACUCCAUCGUACUUACGAAAAAGGUUAAGGGGUAGCUUCCGAAGAAUAGACCUCUGGAUGGUUGAUUAUCUGGUAGAUAACUCGGGGAAUGUGGCAGAAAGUAUCUCUCGAGUUGAAACUUGGAAAACAUCGAGAGCAAAGUAAGAAGUUACGAUAAGAAGUUUCAAGUGGAUAGACAAUCGUUCGAUGCCUAAUCAAAAGGUGAAAAAGGUUCAAAGCAACUAAAUAAAUAUCGCGUAUGAUACUAGAGUAGACCAUCUCUAGGAAGGUGGCUCAUGAUCUACAUACGAAGCCAAGCAUGGGGAAUAACUUUGCAAACAAGGAUGUACUAGAGAGUCAGGUUUCGAUCCAGUGGAAUUGUGGGUUAUGGGCCCACCAUGUGGGUUAAGAGUGGGAAGAGCAGUGAUAUCUUGUACGGUCAUGGUAGUAAGGCAGGUCAGAGGAUAGCCUAUCAGUUAUGUUGGCAACAACGUUGGUACCAAGGGCGAGGGUCGAAGAGAACCAUUUUCCUGCUUGUUGAAACGAGGCGGACCAAUAGUCACGGUUCUCGUCCACCGGCGGUCACCAGAAUGUCAUCAGCAAUAGUAAUAGGGUUACAAUUGACAGGGUUGUACACCGAGGUGUUUACAUAAGCAGGGAAUCAUCACUGCUCAUAUAAGUCAAAUUAUAAGGAAUGUUAAACAAAACAAUGGAAAGGAAAAUGUGAUUAGUAUAUUAUAAUCACAACAAUGGAAAGGAAAAUGUGUUUAUACUCGAGUAUCAAGAGUAUAACUUUCCCAAGGAAAGGUAGAGCAUGAUAUACAUGAUAGGGCUCCUAGUAUGUAACCAUUUAAACAAAAGGGGCGAGGAAAUUCAUGACGUUGCCCAUACAAUAAUGUUUGGAUAAGUGAUCAAGAAACAUUUAGCAUUACGUUGCCAAUGUUCUUGGUGAUGAAUGGAGUGCCACAGUCGUGCAUCGGGAUAGCAUUGACAUGGUCAUCAGGUAAAGGUCAGCCUUUGGAUACUCAAAGGAUCCAUCGGAAACAACUUAUAAAAUAAGUCGUACAAUUUUAGCAAGGAAAAGAUGAGGAUGGGGCCCACGGGCUCAGCAACAAUUUAUCAAGGGGGCAAGGAUGGUAUUUCUCAUCAUGAAUUCGAUUGAUAACCUAGAAGAGCUCGGAAUGUUGAUGAUGAUCACGACAUAUUUGUCGAGAGGUUUCAUGAAGAUGUAAUCGAUCGACGAUGACAUCAAAUCAAAGGAAUGAUGAAGCGAAAGGCUAUUGGAAUCACGAGUAUGACACAAACUCAAAAUCAAGCUCGCUGUUCACGGCGAAAAUAUAUGACAAGGAAGAUCGACAUAGGCUUAGCUCAUCAUCGAAAAUUGUGCUCCGGGAGGAAGGACCAGGUAGCACCGUUAAAAUUUAGCACGAUAAUGAUAUAGCCGAUCAGGCUAGGAAUGACUUGAAGGAUUAUUAAACUUGUAAGGAACAAAAAUUACUUAAGAGUUAUAGAAUCGGAGUGCGGAAUCGAUUCACUUAGCGGUGUUCUUGAGUGCCCAACAACUCAGAACCCGGGGAGGAAUUGGAAUUGGUGAGAAUUAAUAGUUGAUGAAGAACUCAUAAGAAGUUAUGUAGUGUCCCGUGAUAUUCUCGAGAUACCAGGGGUAAAACUCGAAGGUAGAUAAGAAUAGAGGUUAGACUAGUGUAUUAAUAUGUGAAAGACAAGCACUUUAACUUGUUUGAGAAAUAUGAUUAAAGAAGAACAAUAUGGUCGGAACCACGAUUGCAAAAGACCAAAUCCCAGAUAUAAGACGAACUUAUACCAAGGGGAUAAGUAAUUUUAAGAGAAGCUUCCAUGAUAAGAUCUACAUCGUGUCCAUGGGCAUGAACACAAAGUUCAAGGUCGACUCCCACUUCUCCAAUGCAUAACCUUUCAUUCACUUCUCGCUUUCGAUGAAGUUGUAGUGUUGAAAUGUUAUAAGGAAAAACACAAGAAGAGUAUGACUCGUGAGAACUCUCGGGUUCACAUGGAUUAGAGAAGGCAUAGGUUCAACCCAUAGGGGCAUCUUAGGAACAUAUACCAAAAACUUAAAGAGUAAUUCACAUAAGCUUGAAGGUAGAGCAUGGUUGAAAAAAGCAGAGGAUACAAUUUACCAAAGGCAUUAUGUAUCAGGGAAGAACUCACAAGGUUAUUAAAUAUGAGGGGCACUGUCGGAUAAUAAUCCAACAAAGGAUCUGAUGGUCCACAAGGGAUCUGAUGUGAGCAUCGGUACUCAACCAGAAGAAGAAAGAAUGCAAGGACACCAGAUUAUAGAAACAACUAACUAAUUCAAAGCUCAAAUGCAAAGGGAUUAUUAUUUCCAAAUCAAGGUAUCAGAAGCAAACACUCUGAUUAAGGAUGGAUAAAUUGAAUAGACUUAGGGGUACAAUCGACGGUAAUUUGAUUGGUCGAGAACUAGUUCAUGUCUGGAGUGACGUCUGAGCUAAAGGGACGAAUUCUAGCUUCGAAUGAUGAUUGCAAACAUUCGCACACAUGUUGAAUCAAAAGGGGUAAGAAGGACAAUCACAAAGGAGUUUAAUGAAUAUUGCUAGACAUAUGGAAUUAACCAUAAUGCAAGCAGGUAAGGAAGAUCAAGAGCAACAGGCUAAAGGAUUCUGGGAAGAUCAAAUAGUAUUCCAAAGAAUUUUGUGAAACACAUGAACAACUGGAGAUGAACAGAUACUCGGUAAGUGUGAGAAAUUAUUCAUCGGGGUAUUAAUGCAGCAAGGAACUACAAGGCAGUAGGCACAAAGGAUUCUCGGAACAACGGCGAGUAUUUCGGGGUAUCUUAUAAAAAUAAGAGCAACUGGGGAUGAAUGUAAGAAUAGCAAGUUUAUGUAGUUAUCCAUAGGGGUUGACGGUGGAAGGGAAUUGCAAACGCGAUGAGCACAAGUUAUUGGGAUAACAUCGGAGAGUAUCUUCGGGGUCUUCUGAUGAAUCAAGCCAUCAUCUGGAAUGAAGGGGCUCUCGAGGAGGAAGUAGUUACGAGAAGCUAGAGCCAGAGUUAGUAAAAUUAUUUAACCCGAAUAGAAGAGAGAUGUCGGAGUAAUGGGCCACGGGUAGGCCAAGCCGAGUCCCAUAACCUUUCAAGACAUAGGGGCAGGUUGCGCCCCUCAAGACCCCGGGGCAGGCUGCGCCCCUCAAGACCCCGGGGCGAAGAGCCUCCUGAGGAGUCGACGGCAGGGCGGCCGACUGCCCGCUCAUGGCCGAGUCCCAGGGACGACUUCCAGAGAAGCCGGCUUCGGGGAGUCGGCCGGCGACUCCAACAAACCAUGACCUCAUCGGAGGGGACGGGGCAGGGGCGUGGCUACAGUGAAGCCCACUCCCCGCCCCUUACCAAGGGCAGGCAUGGCCACGACACGUCGUACCCGGGAAGAUUUCCGUGCGGCGUGGCACUGUUGCCCGGCCGGCCCUGACAUCAGCACCACAGUACCAAGUCCUGCGCCCACGACGGCUUGUCUGUACGGCCUGGAGGCAGCGGGGCCCACCAGUCAACGAGACCUUGGGAGACGGCGGGAGAACCGCCAGUUGGACCCGUCGGGAGUCGGCCCGGGGGAGUCGGCCGAGCCCUCCCCCGGGGCCCACGCGCCAUUAAUCAAGAUGAGAUGGGAAGUGGCCAUAGUGAUUGCCCGCCAGGCGGCGGGGCUGUUGCCACGACCCCAUGACCAAGCCUGCGUCAUCAGAAGCACAGCUAUAGUAAUCAGCGGCCGGCAAGACCCGCCCGCGGCAGACGCGGCCUAUCGGCUCCGUACCAGACCAGUCGGCGGGGCCCACCAGUCGGCGAGCCCCAAUAGUCGGCGGAGAAGUCGAAGGUCGCAGGCACUGACGGCUGGGCCCGCGCCCAGUCGAAUUACCAUUGUACCCCUGGGGGGUAGGCCUAUAUAAACCCCCCAGGGCACCCAUGCAAAGGGUUGGAUCCCAAUAGUUCUAGACCAUACCAGAUAGAAGGAGAGAGCUAGCUUUGCCCUCUUCUACCACCAGAAACAGCUCAAGGAGCAACCAUGUAAACACUUGGCCAUAGUGAUCAUGCGGAGACCCCGCAGAGCAGCAGUAGGGGUAUUAUCUCCCCGGAGAGCCCCGAAGCUGGGUAAGAUUCGCCGGCGUGCAUGUCUUCGCCUCAUCCCGUUUCCAGACACCGGCAACGUUCUACUCGCCCCCACCAUGAUAAGCCAUCCGUUGGCAUAUGUCGCACCAAACCCCCGACAUUUGGCGCCCACCGUGGGGCCUGAUGCACCGCCGUCCGGAGAUCUGUUCUGGACGGGAAUCCUUUUCCUCCCUGGCGAGCGCAGCCAGCCAGGCACACCAGGCGAAGUUUGCGUCGACGCGCUGCGCGGCGUUGAGAUCGCCUGCGCAGCCAGCUCCUUGGCCGAACUUGUCGGCGAGGUCCGCCUCUCCGACGAACCUGCGUCCGACGCAGGCGCGGGCGGCCCCGAGAACCUCCUCGCGGGCCUCCUCGAUCAACUCCACGUUUCCGGCGAGCCCGCCAUAGACUUGGAGUCCGUAGGAUCUACCGACCCGAUGCUGGUCGACUCCGACACCGUGUCAAUCGACGUGUUCCCCAGCAAUGUGGUGGUCUACGAUGAACCUCUCCCCCACGCAGAGAGCGAUGGAAGCACCGUCACUGAGGUGCUAGUCAUCAGUCAUGACAAGUUCCCUGGCAGAGGAGCGCCCGACUCACUCGGCGCGGCGCUGCAAGACCUAGCUGCGCCCAUUCCGGAAGAUGCUAACGCAGAGACGCUAGAAGCGCGCCGCCUUCAGCUCGUUGAAGGUGUCGGAUUUCGGGUUUCGGCAGACCCUUGAGGUUCGAACACUGGGGUGCGCGCGGAGAUUUCGCCUCCUACCUAUCUGCAACCCUCCGCCUCGCUAAUAUCUAAGUUAUGGAAAGAACAAUACAAGAGACACAGGGUUUAUACUCGUUCGGGCCACCGUUGUGGUGUAAUACCCUACUCCAGUGUGUGGUGUGGUGGAUUGCCUCUUGGGCUGAUGAUGAGGAACAAUACAAGGAAGAACAGCCUCGCGAGGGUCUGUUCUUGGCUGGGGCGAUGAACUGCUGGGAGGAGUUCAGUCACCCUUCUCUCUCUCUCUCUAAAACUCUCUCUCUUUUUCUCUUAAAACUCUCCCUCUCUUUUUCUCCCCUCUCUGCCCCCUUUGCCCUGUGGGUGCCUGGUCCUAUUUAUAGAGGCCCUGGUCCUCUUUCCAAAUAUCGAGCGGGAAGGGAGCCACCAAUGGCGGGCUAAUUUGAAGGGGGACAGCUAGUACUAGCUAUCCUGACAAAAGUAGUCUUCGCCUGCACAAAGCUCUAGUGGUGACGCCGUCUUGGGCUCCACAAUGACCUCCGUCUUGCAGUCCUCCUGGUCUUGGUCUUGUUGCACCGAAAUGGCAACCUUUGCCUGACGCCUUGGUACUCCGCGGCUGCGCUUGCUCCCUUUGCACCAAAGAGGAAAGGAGGACACUGCGCGGGCUGGCACCCUCCUGGCGCCUUUGGUCAUCAUGGCUUGCGUCACAGGCACCUCGUGAGGUACCCCGCCUUGAUCUCUCCGCCUCCUCGCGAGCCAGCCCGAUGAGGCCGUGCCCGAGGAAGCUCUGUGUCGUCCGCCCCGCGAGGCUUGGCCCCUCGUGAGGGUCUUGGGUCUGUGUUGAUGAAGAUGGGCCGUGCUGGGGCCCCCUUUGAGCCACGCCGCAGGCCGCAGGCAGGCAAGUCUGGGGACCCCCGUUCCCAGAACGCCGAUAGUAGCCCCCGGGCCCGAGGCGCGCCCGGACUUGGCCGUGCAGGGAGGCAGAAGGGCAAGAGCGAAGCGCCGCGGGCCCUAACAGCCUGCGGCCUUGGGCGCCGCGUAGUGGUUGAUUGGGCGUGGGCGUCUCCACUUCCCCAUGGCGCCUCGGCAACUGCACGGAUUGGAUAAGUCCUUGCAUGCAAAGUGGGUCAUGAUUACCGGCAAUCGCGGAGGUCGGUGGUUGGCCUUCGCCGGCCAUAAGUACGGAAUGGCGCGCGCCCUUCCAGUCCAUCCCUCCUUGCUUCUCCUUCUUCCCGGUCCUUGCUCCGUCUUGCUGCGAUGGCUCCGAUCCGCCGGUUCUCAACGGCAGAGAAGGGAAAGGCUCCCCGAGAGGAACCAGACCCGCUCCCGUCGAAGAAAUGGCUCGUCCUCUGUGGCCCGGACGAGGGGGCCCAUCAGGUGGUGUCGAGGCCUUGGUGCGAGCGGGCACCGCCAGGGUUCCUGCUUCCCUUGUACGCCCACAUCGAGGGCCCUGAAGGAGCUGAUGCUGAUCGCCACGGGCGGCGCCGCCGUCGGCGCCGACGAGUCACGAAGGUGUGGGUCGUCCCCCCUGGGGUCCACACCGAAGGCUCCUCCCGAGAGCUCGUGCUCCACGUCGCCAUGCCUCCUCAGUCUUGGAUUCGCCUUCCUCCCUUCUUCGCCUCGAUCGUCCCGCAGGGAGAGCCCCUGGAGCUUUGGCUGCAGCACGCCGGCUGCAGCACCCUCACAACCGAGGCAGAGGUCGCGGUCAUUGCCCCGGGCGAGGUCUUCAUGACUCGAGGCUAGAGCGAAAUCGCCCGGGUUUGCAGGACAAGAGGCGCCUUCGCGAUCUACUUGGAGUACGAUGGUGCUUCGGUGAUGUUCUUCAAGGUCUUCGAUGCGAACGGGCGCCGGCUGGAGUGCUGCCCCAGGAGAGGUGGCCGGGACCCUGCUGCGGCGAGGACUGGGCCCACCGACCGCUCCCUUGGCGGCUCCUCAGGCGGUGGAGGCGUUGGAGGUUCCAGCGACCCCGGCGAGCUCUUCACGACUCCGGAGACGAGCGACGACAGCUACGAUCCCCCGAGCCGGCGCCGCUCCUGGAGCAGGGCGGGCUCGUCAGGCCGCCGCCGACUCUGAUCUGGAUGGGGUUGGCGCCGGUGCUUGACGGCCCACUGUUGAUGAUGGCGUCUUUUGCAGGGGCGCGCAUAGUUAGUGUCCCUUUAGGAUCUGUUCCCUGCGAGGAAUCAAAGACACGUCCCGUGGGGGCUUGUAAGGUGCUUGUGAUCCUGUUUUGUUAAUAUAACCCUUGUCGUAGAAUUGUGCGAGUUGCUCAUUCCGUCUUAGCUUAGUUCUCCCUUUCGAACCUCACGAGGGCUUGGUGCUCUGCGCCGACAGGUCCCAGUCCCAAGGAGGCUUCAGCCGUCGCUGGUAUGCCAGGUCGCGAUGCCGUGGUCAAGGCCAGGAGGUGAGCGACCCGGAGUCCGGUAAGAGCCCCUGAGUCGCGAUGCUCAGGAGGUCCCCUUUGGCGCUCAAGCAGCCGUCGUUCGGUGAGAAAGGGGAGCGGCGUCACUAACACGGGAUUGCAUUAGGUGCGGGGAUGGUGCCACGGUAGCUGGCGCUUCCGGGUGGUGACUUAUCUCGAGAAUCAGGGGUCGCUCUCUGGUGUGUCGCCAGGUCCGUGCAUCGGUAGGCGUGAGGUUGCUCGGCGAGGUCCUCGCGUGUCCCUCCCCUCUCGCCUUUGCUCCCCUUUCUGCUCUACGUCCUCGGGUCCCGGCCCUCGAGCGAGUCUCAGCUAUCGCUGGUAUGCCAGGUCACGAUGCCGUGGACAAGGCCAGAGGGUGAGGGCUGGAGAGCCAGUAGGAGCCCUGAGUCGCGAUGCUCAGGCACUCCCCCUUUAACGUGCAAGCGGUUUGCGCGGAUGAGAGUGAAGGAGACACCGCAAGGGCCUCGCCUGAUGCAGCUCCUUUAAGAGAUCCUGUAGACCCAUCAAAGAAAGAACGAGGGGUUGCCACGACAAUUGAUAGUCAGCCGUUGGUUGCUUCCGAGGGGUAAUGUGGCACUGAAGGCUUGACGAGGUAGCGCCAUGCGGGGCUGCCGCGGUCAGAGCUCAGCCAUCCAGGUUUGUCGGCAUUGCAGGGACGGACCCAUGCGCAAGCGUCGUGCCGUUUGGGAGCAGUUCCAUCAGUUGGCGUCAGUUGAGCGGGCAGCUAGGUCAAACACAUUAGCCACGAAGGAGUGGAUUCAUUCAAAUAGAUGCUGGGAAGGCGGACAUCACUGGGUCAGGCCCGAGCAACUUAGGGAUCAUGCAGCCCGAGGGGCUCCCCCAACAAGGUAAGCUAACAACAUGAAAUAAAAUGGAUACACGCCGCAGGAACGGACCCACACGGCCUGGGAAUAAUGCAGCCCUGGGGGCGCUCCCAGCUAGAAGUGAAAACUUGAAAGAUGUCACUUGAUGACGUUGAGGACGAAAGGGUGUUGGUGUAGCAGACUCGGCGGGCUGCAGGAGCCGAUCCUCACGAGCCCCAAGGCCCAGGGGCCUCGGGAGGCUCUGGAGGCGCUGGUGGCUCCUCGCGGACCAUCUCCAUCUCCGCCAGGGCCGCGGAAUGCCUGGCCUCUUGUGCCUCCAUGAUGCCCCUCAUGAGGCGCUGGUACGUGGCAGCCGCGUUUGGCAAGCCGUAAGGCAUGUGAACGUAGCCGUGGGGUGGACCUCCGCAGCGCCCCACUCGCGAGGGCCAGAGGCGCUCCAGAGAGGCGACUCGGUUGAGCCCUGGUAUGUCGAUGCAGACGCGCAGCCCACCAUCCCCGCCUGGAUGGGGAGCCACUACUGGUAGGCGGCGGCCGCCUUUCAUGACUCUUGACUCUUGUAGCUCCUGAAUGGCCUUGCUGACGAACUCCUGAGGGUUUGUCUCUCCUUGCCUUACUCCUUCUUGAGGGAAACGUGCUUCGAAACACGCGUCCUUCUCUUCACAGGGCACCGUGAUGACUCCGCCACUUCCUGGCAUCUUGAGGACGUUGUAGCCGUGGUGAGUUACGACCAUGAACUUGGCCAGCGCCGGGUACCCAAGGAUGGCGUUGUACGGCAGGCGAAUGUGAGCGACGUCGAAGUCGAUGAGCUCGAUGCGGUAGUUGUCGCGUGCCCCGAAGGUGACAGGGAGGCGGACCUGCCCAAUCGGGACCGUGGAGCCGUCGGUGAUUCCGGAGAAGGGCUUGGUUGGCUAAAGCUGGCUGUAGGGCGCUCGGAGAUUGUUGAAUGUUUCCACGGACAGGACGUUGAGCCCUGCCCCGCCAUCGAUGAGGGUCCUGGUGACCACCAUGUUGCUAAUGAUUGGGGAACAAACAUCGGGAGGACUCCGGCUGUAGCCGCACACUUGAGCUGAUCUGCUGAGCUGAACGUGAUGGCGCACGCCGACCACCUGAGAGGGCGCGCGGCUUCGAUCUUGGGGAGGGCUGCAUUCAUUUCGCGGGCGAACUGCUUGAAGAUGCGUUGAGAGGCUAGGGCUUGAGCCCCGCCUAGGAUGCAGGCGAUCGCGCGUGGCUCCUGGAAGCCCCCAGCCCCCUCGUCCUGGUGGCGGUCCUCGUUUCUCCUAGGCUACAGCGGCAACGGAGGGAGGCCUGCGUUGCCUUGCGGGCGAUCCUCGCAAGGCUGAUCCCUCUAGUCUCCCUUGCGAGGCGGGUCUUGCCAGCGAUCCUCGCAAGGUUGAUUGCGCCACCCUUGGCGCGGGCCACGGUCUUCCCAGCGUCCUGCGUUCCUUCCUCCUCCUCGACCGUAGCCCCGGCCACCGCGGUAGGGGGGAUGGCCGAUCCUUCCUUCUCACACGGCUCAGAGCUCUUGACAUUCGUUGGUGUUGUGGGUGUGGAGGUCAUGGUACACACAGUACCGACUGCCCUUGGAAGGUUCAGGCUGAUCUCUGCCCCGCUUGGUGUCUGGCUCUGCCGCGAGCACGGCAGCCCCCUUGCGCUUCACAUCCUUGGCCUUGGGCUUCUUCUCUUCUGGGUCUGCGGCAGGCAGCUCGAGGAGGGAGAGACACCCUUCCUCAGCCCUAGCACACUUGGUUGCCAAGUUGAACAGCUCCAAGGAAGUGCAUAGGUCUUCAUGCAUCGCCAGCUCCUCCUUCAUCUUGACAUCACGCACACCGUCGGAGAAGGCUGAGAUGAUGGCCUCCUCGGUCACCUUGGGAAUCUUGAAGCGUGCGUUGUUGAAGCGCUGGAUGUACUUCUGCAGGGUCUCCCCGGGUUGUUGCUUGACGCGGCGCAUGUCGCUCACGGCGGGUGGCCGGUCGCGAGUACCUUGGAAGUUGGCGAUGAAGCGGGUGCACAUCUCGUCCCAGGAGGAGAUCGUGCCUGGAGCCAGGUUCAGGAGCCAGGUGCGGGCCCCGUCCUUGAGCGCCAUGGGGAACCAGUUCGCCAUGACCUUUUCGUCUUCGUUGGCAGCUUCGAUGCCCAGCUCGUAGAGCUGGAGGAACUCCGCAGGGUCAGCCGUGCCGUCGUAACGAGGAGGCAGGUCUGGCUUGAACUUGCCGGGCCUCGCGACGCUGCUUAGCUCGGUGGUGAAGGCACAGUAGCCUGCUGUGGCCACGGGAGACCUUGGGUGACGGAGAGCUUGGUCUUGCAUGUCCCCACGCGCUGCAGCUGGGAGCAGCGCGGGGUCUUGACGUGCUGGAGCAGGAGCAUGGUCGCGACGUGCUGGAGCAGGGAGCGCCCGGGCAGCUUCUUGCGGGCGAGGGACUUCUUGGCAACUCUGCUCUUGCCACGCUGGCACCUGACGGAGUGGGUUCCGCCCAGGGGCCACACUCCUUGGAGCCAUGGCGCCUUCUUGAGGAGGAGGCGGUCAGGGCGCCGCCGGAGCCUCGUCGCCCGCGUGGGGCGAGGUGCGGUGCAGCGGAACGGACGACGCAGGAGAGCCCCCUACGGCGCGGACGAGCUCGGCGACGCGGUCGAUCCAUUCUUCGUAGACAUCGUCGACGGGACGGUAGCGCAGGAGCUCGUUUGCCGCGAUGAGUGCAGCUCGAGCCUCCAUGGGUGCGCGGAGCGCGCGGGACGAAGAACCAGCUGGGGUGAGUGAGGGAGUAGCGGUGCGGCCGUCUUGCUGCACGGACGGAUGCUGAGACGAUGCUUGCUGCUCGUCCCCCGCCGGGCCGGUGGCGGCGUUGACGGCAGGUGACGGGGAACGGCGAGGACGCUCGCCGACAGGAGCCGUCUGGGCGAUGCGGGAAGCGAGAGCGGCCCGGCGCUCGGCGCGGGCCCGACGAGCGUCAGACAUGGGCGCGAUGGUCGGAGGAGAACGGGGUGGUGGAAGACGAAUUCCGGCGCACCCCUACCUGGCGUACCAAAUGUCGGAUUUCGGGUUCCGGCAGACCCUUGAGGUUCGAACACUGGGGUGCGCGCGGAGAUUUCGCCUCCUACCUAUCUGCACCCCUCCGCCUCGCUAAGAUCUAAGUUAUGGAAAGAACAACACAAGAGACACAGGGUUUACAUUGGUUCAGGCCACCGUUGUGGUGUAAUACCCUACUCCAGUGUGUGGUGUGGUGGAUUGCCUCUUGGGCUGAUGAUGAGGAACAAUACAAGGAAGAACAGCCUCGCGAGGGUCUGUUCUUGGCUGGGGCGAUGAACUGCUGGGAAGAGUUCAGUCACCCUUCUCUCUCUCUCUCUCUAAAACUCUCUCUCCUUUUCUCUUAAAACUCUCCCUCUCUUUUUCUCCCCUCUCUGCCCCCUUUGCCCUGUGGGUGGCUGGUCCUAUUUAUAGAGGCCCUGGUCCUCUUCCCAAAUAUCGAGCGGGAAGGGAGCCAACAAUGGCGGGCUAAUUUGAAGGGGGACAGCUAGUACUAGCUAUCCUGACAAAAGUAGUCUUCGCCUGCACAAAGCUCUGGUGGUGACGCCGUCUUGGGCUCCACAAUGACCUCUAUCUUGCAGUCCUCCUGGUCUUGGUCUUGUCGCACCGAAAUGGCAACCUUUGCCUGACACCUUGGUACUCCGCGUCUGCGCUUGCUCCCUUUGCACCAAAGAGGAAAGGAGGACACUGCGCGGGCUGGCACCCGCCUGGUGCCUUUGGUCGUCAUGGCUUGCGUCACAGGCACCUCGUGAGGUACCCUGCCUUGAUCUCUCCGCCUCCUCGCGAGCCAGCCUGAUGAGGCCGUGCCUGAGGAAGCUCCGUGUCAUCCGCCCCGCGAGGCUUGGCCCCUCGCGAGGGUCUUGGGUCUGUGUUGAUGAAGAUGGGCCGUGCUAGGCCCCCCUUUGAGCCACACCGCAGGCCGCAGGCAGGCAAGUCUGGGGACCCCCAUUCCCAGAACACCGACAGAAGGCGCGAAGAAGCUGGCCAGCAUGAGACGCUUGUCAGAAGCUUACCUGCGGGAGAUGGAUCGCGCCGUCGGCGGCUCGCCGGCCCCGGCAGGGCCCAGCCGCCUUGGCGUGGUCCAGCAGCGCGGCAUAGCCAUCACCAGCCUGUUUGGGGCUAGCCACCCCGUGUACGCUACACCGGCGGAGAACAUCCGAGCCGCCCAGGCAGCGGCAGAUGAGCUGGAGAAUUUCGAGGGUGAAGAACACCGCCUCAUGAUGGAGCGAGUCCAGCGGCUCCUCGACGCGGCCGCCGCGCAGAACGAGGCCGGCUGCCGCACGGAGGCGCCACAGCGGCCAAACGACGACCCACACCGAGAUCAAGGCGCGACGUCUCGGACGCUGACUGGCGGCGCCCGAGGAAGAAAGGACAAGGAGCCGGCUGUCAGCCACAGUCGGACUCGCAUUACCAUAGAGCGCGACCGAGACGGCCGCCCGAGAGCAGUGGAACGACAGGACGACUGUCCGCCUCCCCCUCCCCACAAGGAGAGGCGAGUCUCCCCGCCGCCUGUUGACCAUCCGACUCUCGGUGACCGCCUUGGCCGCCGAGAGGGAGUUGGAGAGAAUGACGUCCGCCACCGGAUCGACCGACUUCACCGGUCCCUGGCGCUGGAAGAAGAAGACGAGUUGGGUCCUCCUUGUUUCGGGCCCCGCAUUCGGGACGAGCCCUUUCCCAGAGGGUUCACGCUCCCAAGAGACACACCCAAGUAUACCGGCUCCGUGAAGCCGGAAGACUGGCUAGUCGACUACUCCACGGCUGUCAGCAUAGUAAACGGCAACAAGCGUGUCGCCGUAAAGUACGUUCCGCUCAUGCUCCAGGGCACGGCCCGGACAUGGCUGAACAGCCUAAAGCCCCGCAGCAUCAACAGCUGGGUCGACUUCACUGAAGCGUUCGUCCGCAGCUUCACCAGGCAUGUACAAGCGUCCUCCCAAGCCUCGUCAGCUCUCCUUGUGCAUGCAAGGUCCUGACGAGUCGACUCGCGACUACCUCACGCGUUGGGCUGAGCUCCAGAACUCCUGCGAGGGCGUGCACGAGGUGCAGGCCAUCGAGUACUUCACAGCCGGGUGUCGAGAAGGCACCCUCCUCAAGCGCAAGCUCCUCUGCGACGAGCCAGAAACCCUCGACGAGCUGCUGAUCAUAGCGGACAAGUACGCCACGGCCGACUCCUCCAUGAAGGCGGAAAUUCAAAUCAGCACGACUGGCAAAGUAGCUCCUCAGGAUCCAAGAACUCCGGCGGCAGACGCCGGCCGGUGACAACAGCAGGGCGACAACAAGCGCAAGGCCCCGCAGCCGGCUUCUGGUAGCCGGCAGGUCGCGACCAUUGAAGCCCAGCAGCCAGAAGAGCAGCCUCCGCCCAAGCGACAGAAAGGCGGCAAGCCAAAUUGGUUGCUGGCCUUCUCCUAUGAGCAAACCUUGGAUGGACCUUGCAAGUUCCACAGUGGCAUGAAGCCGUCGAAUCACACCACCUAGAAGUGCCACUGGCUCACCAGGAUUGCCAAGGGAGACGGCCUCCUGCCACCCCCGCCUGCUGGGCAGCCGCCUCCACCUCCACCCCAGCAGCCGGCAGUCAGGCCAGUCGGGCAGUACAAGACGAAUACCCUGAAGAGCAUGGAGCCUAUGUGGUGUUCACCAGUGUGGCUGAUGAUCGACACAGCAGGCGGCUGCAGCGACAAGAGGUGAACGCAGUAGCCUCAGAGACGCCAGAGUUCAUGCACCGGUCUGAGAAGCCCACCAGCUGGAGCAGGGCUGACCACCCAGAAGUGAUGCCGAGUCCAGGCUCCUACGCCUUGGUCCUGGACGCCACCUUUGCUACAGACAAACGGGCCGCGCGUUUCUCGCGAGUUCUGAUAGACGGGGGAAGCAACAUCAAUAUCCUGUACAAGGACACCAUGGAGAAGUUAGGAAUCAAGUAAAGACAGCUUCAGAACAGUCGGACUGUGUUCCACGGCAUUGUUCCUGGGCUUUCCUGCUCACCAAUCGACAAGAUCCUGAUGGACGUCCUCUUUGGGGACAAAGAUCACUUCCGAAGAGAGUCUGUUUGGUUUGAGGUGGUGGACCUUGAGAGCCCAUACCAUGCGCUACUUGGCCGACCCGCCUUGGCCAAGUUCAUGGCGGUCCCCCACUACGCCUACCUCAAGAUGAAGAUGCCCAGUUCCAGGGGAAUUCUGACUGUGGCCGGCGACUACCGGAAGUCGUCCGCUUGCGCGGCCGAGAGCAGUCGGCUGGCCGAGUCCCUGGUGAUCGCAGCCGAGAAGCGACUCCUUGAACGAGUUGGGGCAAUGGCCGGCAAGCAGUCGGAGAUAUCGCCUGACCCGAAGGAGACGGAAGCCGAAGGUUCGUUCAAGCCGACCAAAGAGACAAAGAAGAUACCCUUGGAUCCGAAGCACCCGGAGAGGUACGCUGUCAUAGGUGCGAACCUCGACAGCAAAUAGGAAGGCGAGCUCAUCGAUUUCCUCCGUGAGAAUUGGGACAUUUUCGCAUGGUCCCCCAAAGACAUGCCAGGUGUACCGACGGAUUUCGCCGAGCACAAGUUACAUGUCCGAUAUGAUGCAAAGCCGGUCAGGCAGCCCCUACACCGCUUAUCAGAAGAGAAGAGAAGAGUUGUCGGAGAAGAGAUAGCCCGACUCCUAGCAGCCGGCUUCAUUAUGGAAGUUUUCUUUCCGGAGUGGCUAGCAAAUCCGGUCCUGGUACUAAAGAAGAACAAGCCAUGGCGAAUGUGUAUUGACUACACGAGCCUCAACAAGGCCUGCCCCGAGGACCCGUUUGCUCUGCCAAGAAUUGAUCAGGUGAUAGACUCCACAGCCUGAUGUGAGCUGUUGAGUUUCUUGGAUGUAUACUCAGGAUAUCACCAGAUCAAGCUGAACCCGACUGACAGAUUGAAGACCGCCUUCAUCACGCCGUUUGGAGCAUUCUGCUACCUCACCAUGACGUUCGGCUUGAGGAAUGCCGGCGCCACCUUUCAGCGUUGCAUGCAGAAGUGUCUCCUCAAGCAGCUCAGCCGGAACGCCCAUGUUUACGUGGACGACAUGGUGGUGAAGACGGAAAAGCAUGGAACACUGCUGGAAGACCUCAAGGAGACCUUUGAGAACCUGCGCCGGUUCCAGAUCAAGCUCAACCCCGAGAAGUGUGUCUUCGGAGUACCAGCCGGCCAGCUGCUAGGUUUCCUGGUCUCUGAACGUGGCAUAGAAUGCAACCCAGUAAAAAUCAAGGCCAUCGAGAGAAUGGAGGUACCCAGCCGACUGCUGGAUGUGCAGAGGUUCACCGGCUGCUUAGCGUCCAUCAGCCGAUUCAUCAGUCGACUGGGCGAGAAAGCUCUCCCCUUAUACCAACUCAUGAAGAAGACCACUUUUUUCGAGUGGAACCAUAAGGCGGACGAAGCUUUUCACCAUUUGAAGAAGAUGCUGACCACUCCACCCGUCCUGGCGGCUCCGACUCCCAAGGAACCUAUGCUCAUGUACAUCGCCGCCACCAGCCGAGUAGUCAGCACAGUCAUUGUACUAGAGCGCAAGGAGGAAGGCAAGGCGCUGCAUGUCCAGAGACCAGUAUAUUACCUGAGCGAGGUACUGUCGACCUCCAAGCAGAACUACCCCCACUACCAGAAGAUGUGCUAUGGCGUACACUUUGCUGCCAAGAAACUGAAGCCUUAUUUUCAAGAGCAUCCAAUCACGGUGGUCUGCACGGCCCCACUUGCCGAGAUCAUCGGUAGCCGAGAUGCUUAUGGUCGAGUGGCCAAGUGGGCCAUAGAGCUGGCUCCUUACACCAUCUACUACCAGCCCCGCACCGCUAUCAAAUCACAAGCGCUGGCUGAGUUCCUCGUCGACUGGGCUGAGACCCAGUACCUGCCUCCAGCGCCUGACUCCACCCAUUGGCGAAUGCACUUCGACGGCUCCAAGAUGCACACCGGCUUGGGAGCCGGCGUCAUCCUCACCUCUCCUAAAGGCGACAAGCUCAAAUAUGCACUGCAAAUCCAUUUUGCCGCCUCCAACAAUGUUGCCGAGUACGAGGCGCUCAUUCACGGGCUCCGACUUGCCAAAGAACUUGGCAUCCGCCGGAUCUUGUGUUAUGGCGACUCGGACUUAGUGGUCCAGCAGUCAUCUGGCGACUGGGACGCGAAAGACGCAAACAUGGCGAGCUACCAUUUCCUCGUGCAGCAACUCAGUGGGUAUUUCGAAGGGUGCGAGUUCCUCCAUGUGCCAAGAAACGACAACGACCAAGCAGACGCCUUGGCACGAAUCGGCUCUACCCGCCAAGCAAUACCAUCUGGCGUCUCCCUUCAAUGCCUCCUCAAGCCAUCUGUCAAGCCUUCACCAGAAUCAGACUCCAUUUUUGUGCCGGCUCCUCCCGAAGACGGCGGAUCCUACUCCAGAGCUCCGGCAGACGGAACGGGGACUUUGGCGGAUGACUCCAAAGCCGCCACAGUCGAGCCCGGCCCGGGGACUGCGGUGGCGAACUCGAAGAUUCCAGAACUCGACCCAAGAACCGCGCCAGUCGGCCUGGGGACUUCAUCAACCCAGCAAGCGGCUGUUGACUCCAACCCGCCUCCUCCCAGCCCACCCGCCCUCGUCCGAGUCACAGUUCAGGUAGUCGAAGAAAUAGCAGCACCCUCAUGGACCCAACCCAUCCUCAAAUUCCUGGUGAACAAAGAGCUACCAACUGAUUAGACCUCAGCUCGGCAAGUACAACGCCGGGCGGCAGCCUAUACCAUAGUCAACAGAGAGCUGGUCAGGCGCGGCGUCACUAGUGUCUACCAGCGCUGCGUAGAGCCAGAGCAAGGCCAAGCGAUUCUCAAAGACAUCCAUCAAGGCGAAUGCGGCCACCAAGCGGCUUCAAGAGCACUCGUCGCCAAAGCCUUUCGGCACGGUUUCUUCUGGCCGACUGCCUUGGAAGAGGCCAAGGAGUUGGUCCAAAAAUGCAAAGGGUGCCAGAAGUUCAGCUCCAAGCCGCACCAGCCGGCUUCUGUGCUCAAGACCAUCCCCAUUGCCUGGCCUUUCGCAGUUUGGGGUCUAGACAUGGUGGGACCAUUCAAGACAACACGAGGUGGUUUAACUCACCUACUUGUCACGGUGGACAAGUUCACCAAGUGGGUGGAAGCGAAGCCAAUUAAGAAACUGAACGGUCCGACUGCCGUGACCUUCAUCACCGAUAUCACAAUUCGGUACGGCAUACCACAUAGCAUCAUCACCGACAAUGACACAAAUUUUGCCAAAGGCGCCUUGGCCCGUUUCUGCGCAACACAGGGCAUUCGACUGGACCUAGCGUCCGUCGCCCAUCCGCAGUCAAACGGCCAAGUGGAGCGAGCAAACGGCCUCAUCCUGUCCGGCAUCAAGCCUCGGUUGAUCGAGCCUUUGGAGUGCUCGGCUGGCUGCUGGCUCGACGAGCUGCCAGCCGUCCUAUGGAGUCUACGCAUGACUCCAAACAAGUCAACCGGCUUCACGGCCUUCUUCCUCGUCUACGGUGCCGAAGCCGUCAUCCCAACGGACAUAGAGUUUGACUCCCCAUGAGUCACCAUGUACACCGAGGAGGAAGCAGAAGAAGCACGACAAGACGGCGUCGAUCUGCUGGAAGAGGGCCGACUGUUGGCACUCAUCCGGUCCAGCAUCUACUAGCAGAGCCUGCGCCAAUACCACAACAGGAAGGUCAGGCCAAGAUCUUUCCAAGAAGGCGACCUUGUGCUCCGGCCGAUCCAGCGAACAGCCGGCCAGCACAAGCUGUGGGCGCCUUGGGAAGGCCCUUUCAUCAUCAGCAAAGUACUGGGCAACGAUUCCUACUACCUGAUCGACGCUCAGAAGCCCCGAGCACGCAAGAGGGACGACUCCGGCAAGGAGACAGAGUGGCCAUGGAAUGCAAAUCUCCUCCGACGAUUUUAUAGUUGAUGCAGUAUGUACCACGCUACCCUUUGUAUUAAAGUACCAAAACUUCGGGCCCCCCGAGACGAGCUCGGGGACUGCCCUCUUUUGUCUGUAUGAUAAAAAUUAUGACUGCAAGUAUGUUGCUCCUUUCUAUGAUGUUUGGCACCGGGCUCGACAAGUCGACCCGGGGACUUGCCGCCUUGCACUAUGAAAUGCUUCCUGCAAUCGGAUAAGUAGUGUGUAAACGCCUAAACCGUCUCCUAUCAGAAGCCGCAGCUCGCAGAGCGACUGUACGGUGGGCAGUAGUAAGGUAGAAUGGGCACUCGCAUGAAAAAUGGCUAAGGACUCAAAGCAUAAAACAUAGCUCAAGAUGGCUUCCGGCCUUUCUCGCAAACCGACUCUCGGAUAGUCGAACUGCCGACUCCUAUCCAACUUGCUCAAAAAAAAAUCUUGAGAUCGGGUAAGUACUUGCUUUCCCAAAGUAGCCUAGCACUUGAUCCAGCAACAGUCCGCAGAGCGGCUGUCCGAUUGGCAAGGCAGGCAACUAAGAAAAAGCGGCAAAGGAAAAAAGCCAAAAGAACAAUGAGCAAGAAAAGAUAGAUAUAUAUAUUUACAUAACAUAGGCCCUUGGCCGAAUUGUCGAGUAGAGGUUCAAAAUACACCCCGCGGGUGGAAUUGUGCGAAUUAACAAGUUCUUCAAAGACUACUGAAGCAGAUAAAAUAAAAGAUACAGCGGCAGCUUAGGAAGCAGCAGAUGGAUUCGGAGGGUCAGAGGAGACGCCAGCAUCAGGCGUCGGGGCAGCCGGCUGGCUAGUCUCGGCUUGAUCACCUCCGGCAGCAGUCGACUCGAUCGCACGCGGCUCAUUGCUAGAGGCGCGGUCGGGCUGAGGCUGGCCGUCUGUUCCGCCUUCUGGUGCCUCCGCUGUCGUGGUUCUAAGCCUGACAGUAGAGUGGGGGUAGGUAUGGAGAGGCAAGGUCCUAGCUAUGGAGAUGUUGUAAACACCAGGGAUGUACGAGUUCAGGCCCUUCUCGGAAGAAGUAAUAGCCCUACGUCUCGGAGCCCGGAGGCGGUCGAGUGGAUUAUGAGUAUAUGAGUUACAGGGUGCCGAACCCUUCUACCAGUGGAGGGGGGUGGCUUAUAUAGAGUGCGCCAGGACCCCAGCCAGCCCACGUAGGAGAGGGUUUAAGGUGAGUUAAGUCUGGGGCGUUACUGGUAACGCCCCACAUAAAGUGUCUUUACUAUCAUAAAGCCUACUUAAUUACAGGCCGUUGCAGUGCAGAGUGCCUCUUGACCUCCUGGUGGUCGAGUGAGUCUUCAUGGUCGAGUCCUUCAAGUCAGUCAAGUGAGUCCCUCGUUGGUUGACUGGAAGGCGACCUCUUCUAAGGGUGUCCUUGGGCAAGGUACUUAGAUCAGGUCCAUGACCCUACCCUAGGUACAUGACCCCAUCAUCCGCCUCGCCCCAUCCUCCGCCUUGUCCUCCUCCUCGACGCUGGAGCCAAUCACCUCCGCCGAGUCCUCGCCGUAGUCUGGGUUCAGACCGCUCGGAGACGAAGAUGCUGGUGUCGGUGUACUCGACGAUCGCCGCAGCACGUUUGACGAGGGCGUCUUCCGCAGCCGCCAGCUUCGGCUGGGCCUCCGACCGAAGCGUGGCCAACCGGUCUAGAUCCAGCCCCGGGUACCACGCCUUGACGAACUCCAAGGCCCGACGCGCUCCAGCCCGGGCCGAAGAGCCCUUCCAGGCCUCAAGACGACCAACCGCGACCUCCAGCCAGUUGGCCGUCGGGCUGGGGGUGCGCGGAGCCUGCAUAUCCGGCCAAAGGGCGGCAAUCGCCUGGGCACCGACGCGCUAGAGCCAGCCAGAGGGCGAGCCUCGAUGCUCAGGAUGUGCUCGUCAAGAGUUCGGGGGGCAUCGGCGGCGAUCUCUACGCCCUCCGCCCUCCGACCUUCACGGUCAGCCUUGAUGGCUUGGAUGGCGGCCUGUGACUGCCCAGGGAAGAAGUCUGCACAGACACGAAGAAACGAAGAAGCAAGUCAAUCACCAGGAGUCGGCACGAUCUAAGUCGGCAACUCAAAGAAAGAAAAUAAAGAGACUCACCAUCAACGAUGUCUUCAAUCUCGUGAAAGCCGGAGGACAGCAACACCUCCUUUUCAGACCAGGAGGAGCGCUUGCUCAUGAACUCGGCCAAGAGGGCAGUUUCCGUCUCCUCCGCCUCCCUUUGCGACUUCACAAGCAGCUCCUUCUGCUCUGCCAACUGAGUGGCCAGCAGAUCGCGCUCUGUGGCGAGCUUGCUGCACUCCUCCCCUUUGGCGCGCAGGGCAGAGUUGGCUUCACUCAGCUGCUGUUGAAGAGCAGCAUUGGCUCCUGAAGGAAAGGAAGAAAGACAAUAGUCGUCAAUAAAGUAGGUCGCCGGGGAGAUCCGGCCCAGCUGCUCAGCAGCCGGCCCAAAUCUCGGGGACUACAGCCCGCGGGUGCGCUAGCGCGACCCCGCAGAGAAGAAAAAGGACUUACUCCGGCUCUCCGCCAAGUCGGCGGUCCGCUUGCCCAGCUCUUCAACGUUACGGUUGAAGGCAGUGACGUGGAGGUUGUGGUAAUCCUGCGACAAGCAUUUCAGACAAAGUUAUUACCCAGAAGUUCAUCAAUUGGAGUUCUGGGCCGCCUGCUCAGCAGCCGGCCCGAAACUCGGGGACUACACCCAGUGGGUGCGCUGGCGCGCCCCCACAGAGAGGAGCAAGAAAACAAAGACCAAAAGAAAAAAACAUACCCGGACGGCUGCCCGCGACUCUAGGAACGCCUUGGUGCAACUCUGGAGAGCAUCGCCCUCAGCACGGAGCUUCGCCUGGACGUCCAGGAGCGCCCGGUUCAGCGACCCUGUGCCGCCUCCUCGCACCCACCCAACAGGUGCGGCGCUCGUCGCUUCGGCAUCUAGGGCCGCCGAGCUGGCGGUGCCGGCUUCCAGGGGGCGGGGUGCCGAAGUCGCCUUCUCCAGAUGACGGCGCGUUGGCGAGCCGACUUGGAGGAGUAGCCUCGCCACGGCCUCGUCUUCGGUCGGCGGCACCGGAGGGUCCACUGGCUGCUCGCCUUGCGUGCCUUCAGACGGCGGCGGAGGCGGCGGCGGAACGUUUGAGUCCGGAGUAGAGGGGUCGCCGCCUUCCCUCUCCUCGAUGAGGUUCUCCCCGCCGGCUUCUCCAGUUGGCCCCGUGAACUCCGGAGGCGGCAGCGCAGAGUUCAGCGGGGUGACGAGAAAGGCCGACUGGCGGCGUGCGGCUUCCUCAGCCUGCUGCUUCGCUGCGGCGGCGGCUUCGGCCUCCGCUAGUUUUUUCUUAGCGGAGGCCUUCGUGUCGGCCUCCGCCUUCUCCAGGCGGAGGGCCUCUUCUUCGUUGCGCCUCUCCUACGCAUUCCGCUCCGUCGCCUCCCGGAGGUCAGCAGCAGGGUCAAUCCGCCAAGUGGUGGCGGACGUCUCUGCUGACCCCAUGACGGAAGCGGCGGCGACCCGCUCAAGAGAGAGGGGAGCCCUGAAUAAAGAGGGGCAAGCAGAGACUCAGACAAAUCACGAAGAAAGAAUAAAACUUUGAAGACAGAAUACUUACGCGGAGACCAACGGCGGCUUCUUCACUUCCUUAUGGAAGCGGAUGGCCUUCGCGGCUGCCUCGUCCCGCCGGGUCGCCGCAGCUGAGCCCUUGGGCUUCUUCGGCCGACUGCCGAACAAGGUCGGCACGGCCCUGCGCUUCUUCCCGCCGCCUGGAGCGCCCGGCGUGGCAGGAGAGCCCGCGCCAGGCUGGCUGGCUCUUGGCCGAUGGCGAGGGGCGACUUCUCCCUCGACAUUGUCUUCAGGCCAGUCGGUGAAGGUAGCCGAGGGCCUGAAGUCGCCUGCUGUCCCUCCUCCUCCCUCGGCGUCGUCUUCCAGAGCCGCCGCCCCCAGAUCGGGGUCGUCGACGUCGCUCUCCGCCCGGUCGGCGACGAACUCACGGGCGGGCCCCGAGGUGCCGGCUGGUGGGUGAAGAAGGGGAUUCUAACCAAAGCUGACUGGUCAAAACAAAACCCGGCAAGAAGAAGACAAUCUAAAAAAAGAAAAGAAAGGCGACUCACCACGGGCGGGGGGUUGGCGCGGGAGUACGGCUCCUUGCCGAAUCGCCAGUCCUCCGGGAGCCUGCUGUCCGAGAGGUAGUUCACCAUGAGGGCCACCUCUUCGUGAGGCAUGUCCUUGGUGCACAUCCAACUCGGGUCGCGGUGCCCACUCAUCUGGCAUAUCAUGUGAGGGCGGCCUUGGAGUGGGAGAACUCGGCGCGAAACGAAGGCGGCCAGCAGGUCCAGACCAGUCAAACCCUUCGACUGCGUCAGCACUCGGAGUCGCGUGAUGGCGCCGACUCCCGCAGGCGUCAGUGACCUGGCCCGGUACGACCAGUUGGGCAGUCUCCCAGCCGGCAGGUUGACCGAGUCGCCCCUCCUGGCGACGUUCCUGACGUAGAAGAAGGAUCUCUGCCACAUCAUCACCAACUUUAUCAGCGAGAUGGAGGGGAAGGGGUUGUCAGCUCCUGACCUUCGCACGGCGAUGAAGGCGCCGCAUUGAGCCGGCACGCCCACAGCCUGGGUGCCGAGCUUGGAGAAGAAGAACUCCCCCCAGAGCUCGAGGGUGGGGAGGACUCCGAGGAAGCCUUCGCACAAGGCCACGAGGCGGACAGCAGCACCACUGUGUUGGGGGUGAGGUGGUGCGGCUGGAGGCCAUAGAACUCCAAGAAAGACCGGAAAAAGCUGCUCGCCGGCAGCCCCAGCCCGCGCAGGCAGUGCGAGCGGAAGAUGACCCGCUCGCCCUCCUGCGGGGCGGGGGAAAUCUCCCCCUCCGGCGCAAGACGCACCUGCACGCGAUCCUCGCCGGGAAGCUGACGGGUCCGGCGGAGGAACUCAAUGUGGUCUUCAUGAACCUCGGAACCGUCCCAGGUGCCGGAACGCACUGGGGGAGGCGUGGCAGCGGAGGAAGAACUCAUCGCGAGCUGUCACCGCGGCGUUCGCCGGAGCUUGGGCGUGCGGCGGAGCGAAGAAGAGAAGAGGAAGGAGGAGAGCGAGGAGCAGCAAGGAGGAAGAGAGCGAGGGGGAGUGCGCAGUAGGGGCGCGCGUGCCCCCUCUUCCCCCUACUUAUAGCCCCGUGGGCUGCGAAGCCGAGGGGGCGGACGUGGGGAUUUACUGCGCCCACAACCCCACAACCCCCACGAUCCACGUAAAGUUACUGCGUGCAGUAACUCCACGGGAAUCCCAACUGUCCACCGGGGCCGCAGCGGAUCCGCUCGGGCGCCGAGGCGCGGUAGUGGCGGGCCCCGCCUGUGGGCCUGUCCCGUCGCGCGCGUGGGCUGGCAGGACGGCCUAGCCACGUGCCCUCGCCUAACAGACCAAGAACGGGUGGCGGCCUAGAGGCUUAGCUAGCAUGCCGCUUAAAUCCCGCCGCGGCGUUUGAGAUGUUGAGCGAGCCGGAAUCAAGUGAAUCCGAGUUGAGCAAGACCGAUUCCUUCGAGUGAGCCUGGCAGAAGUCAAUCAAGACCAUGUGUUGAGCACCCGGAAAGAGAAACUACUGAGGCUUCUCGGCCGAUCGUCCGCGGUGCCUCACCAGCUUCGGGGACUACUGUCAGAGUAAUGGGCCACGGGUAGGCCAAGCUGAGUCCCAUAACCUUUCAAGACAUCGGGGCAGGCUGCGCCCCUCAAGACCCCGGGGCGAAGAGCUGCCUCCUGAGGAGUCGAUGGUAGGGCGGCUGACUGCCCGCUCAUGGCCGAGUCCCAGGGACGACUUCCAGAGAAGCCGGCUUCGGGGAGUCGGCCGGCGACUCCAACAAACCAUGACCUCAUCGGAGGGGACGGGGCAGGGGCGUGGCUACAGUGAAGCCCACUCCCCGCCCCUUACCAAGGGCAGGCAUGGCCACAGCACGCCGUACCCGGGAAGAUCUCCAUGCGGCGUGGCACUAUUGCCCGGCCGACCCUGACAUCAGCACCACAAUACCAAGUCCUGCGCCCACGACGACUUGUCUGUACGGCCUGGAGGCAGCGGGGCCCACCAGUCAGCGAGACCUCGGGAGACGGCAGGAGAACCGCCAGUCGGACCCGUCGGGAGUCGGCCCGGGGGAGUCGGCCGAGCCCUCCCCCGGGGCCCACGUGCCAUUAAUCAAGAUGAGAUGGGGAGUGGCCAUAGUGAUCGCCCGCCAGGCGGCGGGGCUAUUGCCAUGACCCCAUGACCAAGCCUGCGUCAUCAGAAGCACGGCUACAGUAAUCAACGGCCGGCAAGACCCACCCGCGGCGGACGCGGCCUGUCGGCUCCGUACCAGACCAGUCAGUGGGGCCCACCAGUCGGCGGGCCCCAGCAGUCGGCGGAGAAGUCGGAGGUCGGAGGCACUGAUGGCUGGGCCCGCGCCUAGUCGAAUUACCAUUGUACCCCUGGGGGGUAGGCCUAUAUAAACCCCCCUAGGGCACCCAUGCAAAGGGUUGGAUCCCAAUAGUUCUAGACCAUACCAGAUAGAAGGAGAGAGCUAGCUUUGGCCUCUUCUACCACCAGAAACAGCUCAAGGAGCAACCUGUAAACACUUGGCCAUAGUGAUCAUGCGGAGACCCCGCAGAGCAGCAGUAGGGGUAUUAUCUCCCCGGAGAGCCCCGAAGCUGGGUAAGAUUCGCCGGUGUGCAUGUCUUCGCCUCAUCCCGUUUCCAGGCACCGACGACGUUCUACUUGCCCCCACCAUGAUAAGCCAUCCGUUGGCAUAUGUCGCACCAAACCCCUGACAAGGGAUCAGAGUCCCGGAGUAUAGGUCGAGGAAUAAAAGUUCCUAAUACGACCCAAUGACGACGUGGGCUUGUAAGCCGCACAACCAUGUUAGUAAAAGUUUUGUAUUGACUAGACUCAACUUUGGCCAAAGAGAUGGAAAGGGGGUUACCUACAGGUAGUCGGCUCUGAUACCAACUUGUGACGUCCCCGAUUCAAUCGUACACUAAUCAUACACGCAAAUGUGUACGAUCAACAUUAGGGACUCACGGGAAGAUAUCACAACACAACUCUAGACACAAAUUAAAAUAAUACAAGCUUUAUAUUACAAGCCAGGGGCCUCGAGGGCUCGAAUACAUCAGCUCGAAUACACAAGAGUCAGCGGAAGCAACAAUAUGUGAGUACAGACAUAAGUUAAACAAGUCUUCCUUAAGAAUGCUAGCACAAAAGCAACAUCGAUCGAAAGGCAAGGCCUCGUGCCUGAGAUCCUCCUAACUACUCCUGGUCGUCGGCGGCCUCCACGUAGUAGUAAGAACCCUCGUGGUAGUAGUAGUCAUCGUCAACGGUGGCGUCUGGUUGUUGGGCUCCACCAUCUGGUUGCGACAUCCGGAAAGAAAGGAAAAGGGGGAAAAGAGGGAGCAAAGCAACUGUGAGUACUCAUCCAAAGUACUCGCAAGCAAGGAUCUACAUUACAUAUGCAUCAGUAUCAAUGAAAUGGGUAGUAUCUGUGGACUGAACUGUAGAAUGCGAGAAGAGAAGGGGAAAGCCUAGUGUGAUUGGCUGGCUUAAUAGGGAUGAUAGACUACUCAUAUCAAUAAGGAAUUCCUUCUUUUCCAGAAGCCCAUUCAGACAGAACUCCAAAGUUAAGCAUGCUCAGCUUGGAGUAAUUUCAGGAUGGGUGACCGACCGGGAAGUUGCUCCUAGGUGCGCACAAGUGAGGACAAAGUGCGCAGAAAAGGCUAGUAUUGAUCUGUGGGGCCAGUCUAGAUCCUGUCAGGAGUAACGACCACUGGCGGGUGUGUCCGAGGUGUUACAAGUUGGUAUCAGAGCCGACCCUCAUGGUUACACGGAUGUUUGCGGUCAGGUGUGCGGUCAUGUUGUGCAUGAUGUUUGUGACCCGUCGUGGCACACGACAUGACACAUGUGUUGGACUAGAAGCACAGGCGUAUGUGCCAAGUGGGAACGUUCAUGUGGCCCGACGAGGAUGUCGAUUCCUCUAAAUGGGGGUGUAUGUGAUAGCCUGGCUUAAUAGGGAUGAUAGACUACUCAUACAAUAAGGAAUUCCUUCUUUUCCGGAAGCCCAUUCAGACAAAACUCCAAAUUUAAGCGUGCUCAGUUUGGAGUAAUUUCAGGAUGGGUGACCAACCGGGAAGUUGCUCCCGGGUGCGCACGAGUGAGGACAAAGUGCGCAGAAAAGACUAGUACUGAUCUGUGGGGCCAGUCUAGAUCCCGCCAGGAGUAACGACCACCGGUGGGUGUGUCCGGGGUGUUACACCUAGCCUAUCAAAGACUAGCAUCUUCAAGCAUAUCCAAGCAUAUUGAAACAUCAGAAGAGAUAAGAGUGGCAUAUUAUAAUAUUAGUAAGUAUGUUGUAACAUCGCCCAGAGAUCACUUCCUCGACUCCCUGCGGGAAAACAAUCCCAGAGCCAUCAUUUCCAUUACAUGCCUCAGCAUCAAGUUCUAGUUGUAUCAAUCGGGAUAAAACUCCGAGCUUCCGUUACAGUGAAGACGGCUAUUCAAAUAGAUAGAAUACUUCCCUGCAGGGGCUCACCAACUUAGCCAACACGCUCGAUCAACUCCAGCCGGACACACCAUCAGGUCAUGACCGGCCUAGGCCGAUCAACACAUUGUAGUCCUACCUAGGCUCAACACAGAGGCCAGCACGUCGGUCUACAUCCUAAAUGCGAAGGGGUCACACUCCAAUCAUCCUUUGCAAUCCUGUGCGUUGUGAACGCGGCCGGUGAGCAGACCUAGGCUCCUUAUACAAGUGCAGGCUUAACCAGUCUAACCCGGCGCGCGCCACUCAAUUGCUAACGUCAGUGAGCUUUCGGCUGAUACAUACGAUGCAGAGUGCCCAUACUUAUUCCCAUGUGGUGGUUAGUGCGAAAGAGGCCAGAGGCCUACUCGGAUCAAAUAUCCAAAUCAUUAGUGUCUUGGUAGUGUGCGGUAACGAUCAAUGAUCCACGAUAUGUGGUCCUGUCGCCCCAUCUCAUGGACUUGCGGCAAGGGCUAAGAAUGCCCGGCCGCGCUGCGUGGAAAACUUGUGGGUAUCCUCCAGAUCAACCUGACUUCACAUCACUCGCGGGUACCCCUCGAGGCCAACCUAAAGUCAUCAUGGCUUUAUGGUAAAUCAAAAUAACCAUGUGUCUGAAACAACAAGGGGGAAACCUGAGGAUGGAUUCCCACUCGAUGUAACCAUCAAGUUGGACUUGAAGGAAUCACCCUCGUUGGCCCACACUUGAGGGGUUGCACGGCAGAGUCAUUAUCGGGAGUGGUCAAGGAGGAAUCACCCUCGAUGGCCACGACCGAAUAGCUACACUACAUGGUUAACAUUAGAACUUCUGAUGAGGUAUCACCUUCGACACUCGAUAGUAACACUGCUGAGUCGUACAACUAAGGGGGUGAUGUGUGGUGUCGGGGCCUGGACGUCGAUCACGUUUCUCGAGUCAUCGAACAUAAAGCGGGGCAACUAGGACAAGGUGGGGGUCACUGAUGGAUCUCUAACCAGCCUAUACUAAGCAGUUUAGAAUAAACAGGCAAGGUGUAGGAUCUAGAAGUAGAUGUGUCUAGAGGGGGGUGAUUAGACACAUAAUGCUCAAGUUGCAAUUUUUUAAGCUUUUUCGGUUUAAGUGGAGUUUAGGCACAAUUUCAACACACACAAUACAUAUCAAGCAAGCAUGCAAAGAGUAUAUGAGCAGCGGAAUGUAAAACAUGCAACUUGCAAGAAUGUAAAGAGAAGGGUUUGGAGAAUUCAAACGCAAUUGGAGACACGGAUGUUUUUCCCGUGGUUCGGAUAGGUGGUGCUAUCCUACAUCCACAUUGAUGGAGACUUCAACCCACAAAGGGUAACGGUUGCGCGAGUCCACACAGGGCUCCAAGAUGUGCUAGGGUUUGGGUAAAUCCAAAAAUGGGUUUAACCGAUUACGCAAACUCGGUGGGACUGAUUUGGGUAAUAAGUGAAACUGAGAUUUGGCCAAGCAAACUCGGUGGAACCGAUUGCAUAUCUCGGUGGGACCGAGAAUAUUGCAAUGGGUAACAGAGAGUUUGCAAGCCCAUCUCGGUGAGACCGAGAUCCCAUCGGUGAGACCGAACUGAUUAGGGUUUGGCAGUGGCGUAUGACAAGUGGAACUCGGUGGCGCCGGAUAGGAAGAAUCGGUAGGACCGAGUUUGGCUUAGGGUUUAGGUCAUAUGUGGAAGUGGGAUAGUAGCUGCGGGUUUUGGAGCAUAUCACUAAGCACAUGAAGCAAGAGGCUCAUUAAGCAACACCUCAUCCCUCCUUAAUAGUAUUGGCUUUUCCUAAAGACUCAAUGUGAUCUUGGAUCACUAAAAUGUAAAAUGAGGAGUCUUGAGCUUGAAGCUUUAGCCAAUCCUUUGUCCUUAGCAUCUUGAAGGAGUUCCCACAACCUUUAGUCCAUGCCACUCCAUUGUUGAACUUAUCUGAAACAUGCUAGAUCGAAAUGUUAGUCCAACAAGAGAUAUGUUGUCAUCAAUUAUCAAAACCACCUAGGGAGCACUUGUGCUUUCAAUCUCCCCCUUUUUGGUAGUUAUCAUAAGAGAUAUAUCAUGGAUUAGUCAUAAGCUCAUGUCUUGCAUGUAUCCAAUGGAGUUUCCAUUCCAGGUUCGAAGCAUCAAUGAUGUUCAAUUCUCCUCUCAACCUGCAAAACACUUUCUCAUCAAGUGGUUUAGUGAAUAUAUCCGCUAAUUGCUUAUCGGUGCGAACAUGCUUAAGAUUGAUGUCACCCUUAGCAACAUGAUCUCAAAUGAAAUGAUGACGAACUUCAAUAUGCUUAGUCCGAGAAUGUUGUACAGGGUUAUGACCUAUUUUGAUAGCACUUUCAUUGUCACAAAGCAGUGGAACAUGUUUCACAUAAAUCCCAUAAUCUUUAAGAGUUUGGGUCAUCCAAAGUAAUUGAGCACAACAUGAACCAGCGGCAAUGUAUUCCGCUUCGGCGGUGGAUAAGGAUACCGAGUUUUGUUUCUUGGAAGACCAAGACACAAGAGAUCUGCCAAGAAAUUGACAAGUACCCGAAGUGGACUUUCUAUCAACCUUGUCUCCGGCAUAAUCCGAGUCGGAAUAGCCAACAAGAUCAAAAGAAGACCUCUUAGGAUACCAAAUGCCAAAAUUUGGUGUAUGGAUUAAAUAUCUCACUAUCCUUUUCACAGCCUUAAGAUGACAAUCUUUAGGAGCAGCUUGAUAUCGUGCACACAUGCACACACUUAGCAUAAUAUCGGGACGUGAAGCACAUAGGUAUAACAGUGAACCAAUCAUAGAGCGAUAAACCUUUUGAUCAACCGGUUCACCAUCUUUGGUAAAAUCAUUAUGUCCACUAGUAGGCAUGGGCGUAGACAUACCUUUGCAUUCUUGCAUAUUGAACUUCUUGAAUAAGUCCUUGGUGUACUUUGUUUGAGAGACAAAUGUACCUUCCUUAGUUUGCUUGAUUUGCAACCCGAGAAAGAAUUUGAGUGCACUCAUCAUAGACAUCUCAAACUUCUCUGACAUUAGUUUUCCAAACUUUUCACUAAAGAGAGGGUUAGUUGAACCAAAUAUGAUAUCAUCAACAUAAAUUUGGCAUACAAAUAGUUCUCCAUUAACCCUUUUAGUAAAAAGAGUAGAAUCAAUUUUACCAAUUUCAAAACCACUUGUAGUAAGGAACUUGGUCAAGCAUUUAUACCAUGCUCUAGGAGCUUGUUUAAGACCAUAAAGAGCUUUGUGAAGUUUGUAAACAUGAUUUGGUUUCUUAGGAUUGAUAAACCUGGGAGGUUGUUUGACAUAAACUUCCUCCUCUAUUUCACCAUUUAGAAAAGCACUUUUAAUGUCCAUUUGGUACAAGGUGAUAUUAUGGUGAUUAGCAUAGGCAAGUAAGAUGCGAAUGGACUCAAGUCUAGAAACGGGAGCAUACGUCUCACCAUAGUCCAUACCUUCGACUUGUGUGUACCCUUGGGCGACGAGACAUGCUUUGUUGCGAACCACUUGUCCAUCUUCAUCUUGCUUGUUGCGAAACACCCAUUUGGUACCAAUGAUGUUGUGGUUGUUGUCGGGCUUCUCGACCAAUGUCCAAACUUGGUUUCUCUCAAAAUUAUGUAGCUCUUCAUGCAUAGCGUUUAUCCAAUCUGGAUCUUCCAAUGAUUCUUCAACCUUCAUAGGCUCAAUGCUAGAGAUGAAUGAAUAGUUUUCACAAAAGUUAGCUAAACGAGUUUUUGAGCGAGUGAUUCUCCCGGUUUGUAUAUCAUUGAGGAUUUGCUCGACAGGAUGAUCUUUGGCAAUUCUUGGUCGAACUCGUGAGAGCUUUUGCUUGGGUCUUCGUUGAACAUCUUCUUCAUCUUAUUCUUCUUCUUGGCCUUCUUCAUUGUUGACGUUGUCGUUCUCUUGUCGUGGUGGAGAAGGAGGUUGUUGAUGUUCGUCUUGACGUAUUUCCUCGUUUUCUUCAUCUUGAUGUGUCCCACUUGUGGAUGCUUCCGUGUCGAUUCUUGGUUCACCUUGUCGUGAAGUAGAAGCUUCCACUUGGACGGAUGAAGUACUCUCCUUCACCUCCGUUGGACGAAUUUUGCCAAUGGACAAGUCUUGAAUUGCUUCUGAAGGGUCUUUGUCUCCUACAUCAAUUGGCAAUUGCUCUACUUGCGAGCCAUUAGAUUCAUCAAACUUCACAUCUACCGUCUCUUCAACCUUUCGGGUGAAAUUGUUGUAGACACGGUAAGUGUGAGAGUUUGAGCCAUAACCAAGUAGAAAACCUUCAUGAGAUUUAGGAGCAAACUUUGAAUGAUGAUGCUUAUCAAGAAUGUAGCACUUUGAGCCGAAUACUCGAAAGUAUCCAACUUGAGGCUUGUUACCGGUGAGGAGCUCGUAUGCCGUCUUGCCGAGUAGCUUGUGAAGAUAUAAGCGAUUUGUUGCAUGACAAGCUGUCUCAACCGCUUCUGCCCAAAAGUGCUUUGGCGUCUUGUAUUCAUCAAGCAUCGUUCUUGCCAUUUUGAUGAGCGUCCGGUUCUUCCUCUCAACAACUCCAUUUUGUUGAGGUGUGUACGUAGACGAGAACUCAUGUGAAAUCCCUUCUUCGUCAAGAAAGGUGUCCACAUUUGCGUUCUUGAACUCCGUUCCGUUGUCACUCCGAACCUUCUUGAUCUUCACAUCAAACUGAUUUUGGGCCUUCCUAGCGAAGUUUCUGAAGAUCUUCUAGAUCUGCGACUUGUCAUUAAGAAAGAACACCCACGUAAAUCUUGAAAAGUCAUCAACUAUAACUAGACCAAAAGAAUUUCCACCGAGACUCUUGUAGGCGUUGGGACCAAAAAGAUCCAUGUGAAGUAGCUCGAGUGGCCUCCUUGUGGUCAUGAUGUUCUUCACGGGAUGUCUUCCUCCAACCUGUUUACCUGCUUGACAAGCACUGCAAAGUCUAUCCUUAUAAAAUAUGACAUCAUUAACUCCAAGGAUAUGAUUUCCUUUAAUAAGCUUGUCAAGGUUUCUCAUGCCAACAUGACCUAGUCGUCUAUGCCACAACCAACCUUUUGAGGAUUUAGCAACAAAGCAAGUUUUAGGUUGUGCUUUUUUAGAGAAAUCGACAAUGUAAAGAUCUCCUCUACGCAUACCCGUAAAGACCAUUUUAUGAUUGUCUUGACGAAAUACUUGGCAAUCUACCUCAGUAAAUAGGACAUUCAAACCGAAAUCAGCAAGUCUAGAUACUGAAAGUAAGUUGUAGCCAAGAGAUUCAACGAGCAUGACAUUUUGAAUGGAACUAUCAUGUGAGAUGGCCACCUUACCAAGGCCAACCACUUUACCCUUUGAAUUAUCACCAAAGGUGACAUAUUUUCGAGGGCCGUCAUUUUCAGCAAUCUCAUGAAACAUCUCUUCAUCUCCGGUCAUAUGAUCAGUACAUCCACUAUCAAGAACCCAUUCCUUUCCUCCUGAUUCAUAUCCCCGAAGAUUUGCCAUAAGACCAAAAUGUCUCAUUGCUUCAUCAAGAUUGAAGUCACUGUCAUCAUCAUCAUAAUAUUCAUGUUCAUCAUGAUCUUGCGACUCAUCAUUUCCUAGAGAGGGUAAUUCAUUAGAUAAACGACCAUCAAAGUGGUUACUUUUAUGAAUUCUUAUAGCUUUGAACAUGAUAUCAUUAAUGAUUCCAACAUCUCCUUUAGCAUGCUUAAGAUUGGCAAGUUCAAAAGGACAUUUACCAAAACUAGGAUCACUAGAGUUCAUCUUACUCAAGGCAAUAGAUUUAUGGAGAAUUUCAUCCAAAGUUUUCAAGGAAUAACAGGGAAAUCGUUCCUCAAGAAAUUUCCAUAUGGUAUAGGCACAAUUGUGAGUAGGCAAACUAGCAAUCAAAUUUUUGGGCAAUCCUCUAAUGAUGAGCUCAAUAGUUCUAAGAUUGCGAAUCAUGUCAAUAUCUUCAUCUAGGGUGGGAUGCAAAGGAUCAAUAUGAGGUGCACAAGGGCUAGCAAUAUACUUGUUCAAAUGAUAUUGAUUGAAGAUUACAAGCAUCUCAUUUUUCCACUCAUGAAAGUACUCUCCAUCAAGAAUAGGCACUCUAUGCCUAAGACUCCCUAAUGUAGACACAUCCAUCUUCCUCCAAUGGUGAUUAAACCAAGGCAAUGGAGACCAAAGCUCUGAUACCACUUGUAGGAUCUAGAAGUAGAUGUGUCUAGAGGGGGGUGAUUAGACACAUAAUGCUCAAGUUGCAAUUUUUUAAGCUUUUUCGGUUUAAGUGGAGUUUAGGCACAAUUUCAACACACACAAUACAUAUCAAGCAAGCAUGCAAAGAGUAUAUGAGAAGCGGAAUGUAAAGCAUGCAACUUGCAAGAAUGUAAAGAGAAGGGUUUGGAGAAUUCAAAUGCAAUUGGAGACACGGAUGUUUUUCCUGUGGUUCGGAUAGGUGGUGCUAUCCUACAUCCACGUUGAUGAAGACUUCAACCCACAAAGGGUAACGGUUGCGCGAGUCCACACAGGGCUCCACCCAAGGGUAAUGGUUGCACGAGUCCACACAGGGAUCCACCCACGAAGGGUCCAUGAAGAAGCAACCACCCACAAAGGGUCCACGAAGAAGCAACCUUGUCUAUCCCACCAUGGCCAUCGCCCACACAGGACUUGCCUCACUAGCGGUAGAUCUUCACGAAGUAGGCGAUCUCCUUGCCCUUACAAACUCCUUGGUUCAACUCCACAAUCUUGUCGGAGGCUCCCAAAUGACACCUAGCCAAUCUAGGAGACACCACUCUCCAAGAAGUAACAAAUGGUGUGUAGGUAAUGAACUCCUUGCUCUUGUGCUUCAAAUGAUAGUCUCCCCAACACUCAACUCUCUCUCAUAGGAUUUGGAUUUGGUGGAAAGAAGAUUUGAGUGGAAAGCAACUUGGGAAGGCUAGAGAUCAAGAUUCAUAUGGUAGGAAUGGAAUAUCUUGGUCUCAACACAUGAGUAGGUGGUUCUUUCUCAGAACAUAUGAGUUGGAAUGGUGUGUGUGUUCUGAUGGCUCUCUCUCCGAAUGAAGAGGAGGUGGAGGGGUAUAUAUAGCCUCCACACAAAAUCCAACCAUUACACACAGUUUUCCAAUCUCGGUGGGACCGAAUCAGCGAACUCGGUCGGACCGAAAAUGUAAACCAAGUGACCGUUAGGGAUUUCGGUGGGACCGACUGAAUCAACUCGGUGGGACCGAUGUGCUAGGGUUAGGGUAAAUCCAAAAAUGGGUUUGACCGAUUACGCAAACUCAGUGGGACUGAUUUGGGUAAUAAGUGAAACUGAGAUUUGGCCAAGCAAACUCGGUGGAACCGAUUGCAUAUCUCGGUGGGACCGAGAAUAUUGCAAUGGGUAACAAAGAGUUUGCAAGCCCAUCUCGGUGAGACCGAGAUCCCAUUGGUGAGACCGAACUGAUUAGGGUUUGGCAGUGGCGUAUGACGUGGAACUCGGUGGCGCCGGAUAGGAAGAAUCGGUAGGACCGAGUUUGGCUUAGGGUUUAGGUCAUAUGUGGAAGUGGGAAAGUAGCUGAGGGUUUUGUAGCAUAUCACUAAGCACAUGAAGCAAGAGGCUCAUUAAGCAACACCUCAUCCCUCCUUAAUAGUAUUGGCUUUUCCUAAAGACUCAAUGUGAUCUUGGAUCACUAAAAUGUAAAAUGAGGAGUCUUGAGCUUGAAGCUUUAGCCAAUCCUUUGUCCUUAGCAUCUUGAAGGAGUUCCCACAACCUUUAGUCCAUGCCACUCCAUUGUUGAACUUAUCUGAAACAUGCUAGAUCGAAAUGUUAGUCCAACAAAAGAUAUGUUGUCAUCAAUUAUCAAAACCACCUAGGGAGCACUUGUGCUUUCAUAAGGUACAACAGCAGGUACAAAAGCAGGCUAUGCAACAUAAUAGGAGCAAUCAAUUACAGUAGCAAAAUCUAAUGCAAGCAUAAAUGAAUAGAAUGGGAGAUAUUGGAAUGAUCAAAGGGGUGUCUUGCCUGGAAGCUCUGCUGAAAAGGAAGAAGUGUCGUCGUCGAUGUAGUCGAUCAUAGGGGCAUCAUCGGUCUCGGGGUCUACCGGAGAGAAGAGGGAGAAGAAAUAGUAAAUACAGAGCAAUCAGAGGUACCGCUAAGCAUGACAUGCCGAAAAGCAAAACUAGGGUCGAUCUAACGUAGUACUACACUAUAUAGGUAAAGGGGGAAUUCAACCGGGAAAGUUUUCCCGGUUCCAGACCUGUGUCAGACAGAUGAUCGGAGGGGGAAAGUUCCAUGUUUAGAUAGUUACAGGCAUCUGACAAGUAAACGGACAACAUAUCUGGAUUCGUCUCGUCGUUCUAGUAACUUUCAUGUAUAAAACAUUUACAUCCGAGUUAUGGCUUAAUUUCUAUGUUUUUUCAAAGUUUUAACAAUAUUUUAAAAUGUCUGGUUUUGUUUUAAUUCGAGUUGACCAAGUCAAUUUGACUGGUAAGGGGGGGGGGGGGGCUGGCCCACAUGUCAUAAAGCUAUAUCCAAUCUAAUAAAUAAAACUAACUUAAUCAAAUGGAGCCCAUAUGUCAUAGUGCAGCAACUAACCUAACUAGAAUGAUUAGUCCCUAAUCUAAUCUGUACAGGGUUGGCGAUAGGCUUUGCCAGCCUCACGGCUGUGCACAUACAUGCAUCACACAAGGGCACUCGGCCACGGCCAAAAGCAGUAGCAAAUGGCAACAACGGGCAUCAGCAGGUAGUAUCAACAGCCAACGCAAAAGAGGACCAUCAACAUAAAGCAAAGCAACGCCAAAAGUAGAGGAGGAAUGGCAAGCAAGCAAUAGCUCAGUGGUAGCAGCAAGUAAUCAGCAGCGGCAUGUAGUAGAAACAACAAGCAGCAACAACGGCGGCGGCGCUAGGGGCAUUAGCAGCAGCAAAACUGAGC
rnacentral:lncRNA from 1 species